rnacentral:rRNA from 1 species
AACGCGGGGCAACUCGCAAGUAGCAUGGCGAAAGGGGCAGUAACGCCUAAGCAACCUGCCCCCCGGACUGGGAUAGUCGGUCGAAAGGCCGGGUAAUACCGGACGCCCUUAGGGGGAGACAUCUUCCCGUAAGGAAAGGGCAACUGCCGGGGGAGGGGCUUAGGUCCUAUCAGCUAGUUGGUGCGGGUAACGGCCCACCAAGGCGACGACGGGUAGGGGGUGUGAGAGCACGACCCCCGUCACUGGCACUGAGACACUGGCCAGACUCCUACGGGAGGCUGCAGUCGAGAAUCUUCGGCAAUGGGCGCAAGCCUGACCGAGCGACGCCGCGUGGCGGUAGAAGGCCUUCGGGUUGUAAACGCCUGUUGGGGGGGAGGAACACUGACCGAACCCCUGAGGAAGCACGGGCUAAGUUCGUGCCAGCAGCCGCGGUAAGACGAACCGUGCGAACGUUAUUCGGAAUCAUUGGGCUUAAAGCGCGCGUAGGCGGCACGCCAAGUGCCUGGGUGAAAUACGAUCGGCUCAACCGUCGUUUGGCCCGGUAUACUGGCGCGCUCGAGGGGGGUAGGGGCCGGCGGAACUUCCGGUGGAGCGGUGAAAUGUGUUGAGAUCGGAAGGAACGCCAGUGGCGAAAGCGGCCGGCUGGAUCCUACCUGACGCUGAGGCGCGAAAGCUAGGGGAGCGAACGGGAUUAGAUACCCCGGUAGUCCUAGCCUUAAACGAUGGGUACUGGGUAGGAAGGGCUCCGAUGGCCCCUCCUGCCGGAGCGAAAGUGUUAAGUACCCCGCCUGGGGAGUAUGGUCGCAAGGCUGAAACUCAAAGGAAUUGAC